UGAUAUGAGUUCGCGUUUUGAUUACGAU
rnacentral:sRNA from 1 species